rnacentral:rRNA from 1 species
AUACAGAGGGUGCGAGCGUUAAUCGGAAUUACUGGGCGUAAAGCGCGCGUAGGCGGUCUAUUAAGUCAGAUGUGAAAUCCCAGGGCUCAACCUUGGAACUGCAUCUGAUACUGGUAGACUAGAGUUUUGGAGAGGGAAGUAGAAUUUCAGGUGUAGCGGUGAAAUGCAUAGAGAUCUGAAGGAAUACCAGUGGCGAAGGCGACUUCCUGGCCAAAAACUGACGCUGAGGUGCGAAAGCGUGGGUAGCAAACGGGAUUAGAAACCCUAGUAGUCC